rnacentral:ncRNA from 1 species
AUAACAGCGAUGAAAAGAAAAAGUAAACCUGAACUGCUCGUCCAGAGAGUUCCCGGUCGGUGCAAGGGAAUAUGAGAAACAGGUUGAACACAUCUUGGAGCAAUUCACCGAACGAGGAAUCAAGUAGGCUGGAUCGGAACCUGUACCCGUUAUCGUACUAGAGUAUAGAAGUUUUGUACUCGAAGAGGCUGGAUUUCGUGAGGAAUUCAGUGAAUUAAGGUGGAACCACGAAGGGAAAAACGACCCUCUCGUCCUUAGC